UCUUAGUGGCGAACGGGUGAGUAACGCGUGAGUAACCUGCCCUGGAGUGGGGGACAACAGUUGGAAACGACUGCUAAUACCGCAUAAGCCCACGGAUCCGCAUGGAUCUGCGGGAAAAGGAUUUAUUCGCUUCAGGAUGGACUCGCGUCCAAUUAGCUAGUUGGUGAGGUAACGGCCCACCAAGGCGACGAUUGGUAGCCGGACUGAGAGGUUGAACGGCCACAUUGGGACUGAGACACGGCCCAAACUCCUACGGGAGGCAGCAUG
rnacentral:rRNA from 1 species